rnacentral:rRNA from 1 species
UACGUAGGGGGCAAGCGUUGUCCGGAUUUAUUGGGCGUAAAGGGCGCGUAGGCGGCUGCACAAGUCAAAGGUGAAAUCCCUCGGCUCAACUGAGGAACUGCCUUUGAAACUGUGCGGCUUGAGUCCGGGAGGGGGUAGCGGAAUUCCCAGUGUAGCGGUGAAAUGCGUAGAUAUUGGGAGGAACACCAGUGGCGAAGGCGGCUACCUGGACCGGAACUGACGCUGAUGCGCGAAAGCGUGGGUAGCAAACAGG